rnacentral:misc_RNA from 1 species
UUUCCGUAGGUGAACCUGCGGAAGGAUCAUUAACAAAUGAAUGAAUAUUGUGACAAUUGUGAGUUGGUCAACUUUUAGUUGAUAGCUUUAUGCAAUGAUAAUGUAGUCAUAUACAACUAUAAUUAAAUACAACUUUUAACAAUGGAUCUCUAGGCUCUCACAUCGAUGAAGAACGCAGC